UUAGGUUUGAGUAUUUUCGAACUUACAUGUAUGUUAUUAUAGAAAGUAUCAAGCAAUAUAAAACAAUUGAAAAAUCUGAUAUUUUCUACGACAUACAUGUGAGUUCGGAUGUACCCGAACCUA
rnacentral:pre_miRNA from 1 species